GGCUUAUUGAUAAUAAUUUUAAGUCGAUCUGCCCAAUGAAAUUUUUAAAUGGCUGCAGUAUAACUGACUGUACAAAGGUAGCAUAAUCAAUUGAUUUUUAAAUGAAAUCUGGAAUGAAAGGAUUAAUGAAAUAUGUACUGUCUCAAUUAUAUAAAGUGAAAUUAAAAUUUUAAUAAAAAUGUUAAAAUUUUUUUAUGGGACGAUAAGACCCUAUAGAAUUUUAUAUUGGGAUGUUUUAGUAGUUGAUAUUAAAUUCAAUUCAAUAUUUGAUUGGGAGGAUUAUUAAACUUAAUUAACUUUAAUUUAUGUUAACUUUAAUUUAAGAAAAAAUAAUGAUCUCUAAUUUAGAAUUGUUAGAAUAAAUUACCUUAGGGAUAACAGCGUAAUACUUUUUUAUAGGUCACAUAGAAAAAAGUGGUUGCGACCUCGAUGUUGAAUUAGGAUAAAUUUUAAACGCAGGAGUUUAAUAAUUAAGUCUGUUCGACUUUUAAUAAUCCUACAUGAUUUGAGUUCAAAUCGACGUAAGU
rnacentral:rRNA from 1 species